GAAGAGGCUGGGGGUCCCGGCCUUGUGCCUUACCUGCGCCCGGAGGUCGCCUCCUUCUUGGGAGAGGAUGGGGACGUGGCAUAGCCACCCACGCGCCGCGGGGGUCCCGAGCCAUUAAGGGGCGUCCUGGUGGGAAGGCCUUUCAAGAGCUGACACACUGGAGGGAUGGGGACAGAAGAGGGCGACGCAGAGCAUCCGCCAGCGCCGCCUUUAGGACCGCCAGCUCGUCUUCCUGUAACUGCAGCCGCUGCUCCAGCGCCGACACGCGGUCGUCCACUUCCAUACCGCUCGUGCCCGACAAAUUGUCAUCUGGAAGACGGGGGAGUGCCGGCUGCAGGGCCACCCAGGAGCUCCAGUACCCAACUGGUCCCUCCCGCCUUCCUGGGUCUAAGCGAGGGGGCCAGCCACGCCCCUUUCCUGUCCCGCUACCUGGGGCUGGGACACUUGGAGAUGGGCCAAGGAAGAGGACUCUGAAGGGGGAAGGAAAUCCCCACCGCUCUCCAACCCAUCCCCACACUCCUCUCUGCCGCAGCGCGCUGGCCCUGUGACCUUGGGGAAGUCCCUUCCCUCUUAUUUUCUAAGAUUCUGUGAACCCAGGAGCCUCUCGCUCUGGCUUUAAGAUUCUAUGACUAAGAUGUGGCCAGGCACGGUGGCUCACGCAUGUAACCCUAGCACUUUGGGAGGCCGAGGCGGGCGGAUCACGAGGUCAGGAGAUCGAGACCAUCCUGGCCAACACGGUGAAACCCUGUCUCUACUAAAAUACAAAAAGAAAAAGAAAAAAAAAAUU